UGAUAUAAACCUUAAGUGGUUUGAGUGCCAGACUAUGACUCUGGAGAUCAGGGUUCGAAUCCCUGCUUGGCUA